GCAGCCCCCGCCGGCGGGCGGGCAGCUCCCGGCGCCUCGGGCCGCGGCUCCCGCGAGAGCUGCGGCUGCUGCCCCGAGCGCGGCGGGCGCGGGGCUGCGCGGAGCGGACGGGACCGGACGGAACGGGACGGGCUGCGGCCGGCGAGCGGCAGCGCCGGUGCCAGCGCGCCUUCUCCGGUGUGGGUCAGCGGGGAGCAGCACCUCGCUUUACCUUCAAAAGCUGGUGCUAUCGGACGGGCUGUGGAUGGGUUAAUUGGGCGACUUAAUGUAACCACGCCAGCAGUCAAAACAGAUCUUGUCAGGCAUGUGAUCUCAAUGUCUAUGAUCUUCCUCCUGGAAAGGUAUUUCUUGGCUCAGGUCUCUCUGGACUGGCACUGAAGUAUCCUUUGUCCUUUUAUGUGGUUUGUAAUGCUUGGGAAAUCGUGCUGGAGACAAAGGUUGUGUUCUGAAGCCCAGGAGAUCGGAACUGAAUGUUCUUUUUGUCACGUCCCUCCCUACCUAUGUCAGCCUUCCAGCAGCAGGGAGUACAGAGCAGAGAGUACCAGUUACCUGCACUGACCAUAAAACUGUGAAAAACCAUUUCCAUGGCACAGCACACCAGCAGAGUGGAUGAAACAAUGGAGUCUGCCCAAUUCUUUUACCAGGAUGGAAGAAGAGGAUGAGCAUCCAGUCUUCUGGUUUAAGAGGAGACUAUAAAGGUACCAGAUAAGUGGAAAAGGCAAAAAGCAUCAGGCAGUAGUAGACCUUAGUUACUAGUUCAAAUGAAAAUACCACUACACAGACCAUAAGGGUUUCAGGUAAAUGAAGCAGUAGAAGCUUGAUUGUGAUGGCAGGUGUUUGAAAGAGCUAUUAAAUUACUCUAGCUGGUUCCACAUCAGUAAAAAAGUGAUUGGUUUUGAGAACUGCAAAAACAGUAUUGUAAAGCUAAUAAGCAUUAAUCAGAUGGCAAGAAAAAUGCAGGAUUGCAGGAACAGGGAGGAAAAAAAUUGUGAAGGAAAACUUAUUAAUUAUGCCUGACAACUAGAGGGAUAGACCAGCCUCUCUUUAGCAGACAUGGAAUCAAAUUAGUUAUCUUUUUCUUGACUUCUGUGCCUUAUGGGUUUAUGCACAUAGGAGGAAUCCUGCUAAAAAUAUGCUGUUUUCAGCAGAAAGUGAAGAGUUCCAUUUGAAUCAUCUUUGUAUGUAGCCAAAAAAAUUAUUUGAGAGCAUUUUGAGUAUUACUGUCUUUUGUCAAGGUCCAGAGAGGAGUUGGAGGGCAGACACCAGUUUCAUACUCUGCUCAUCCCUCCCUUGCAUGCAAAAUUGCACCAAGAAAAAUCAAAAUAUUGCCCUAUUCCAGCAGCAGUGCUUUAUGCUCUUUCCUACUUCACUAUGUCUAUCUUAUUUAAAUGUGGGGUAGUGAAAAUCCUGCUCAAUAAUAUGUCUCACAAAUGGAGAAAAACUACAUGAUGCAUAAAAGGACUUUCACAAAAAGAAUGUAAUUUCUCAUGCAAAUUCAUUGUCUUUUAAUAAAACAACCCUGGGGUUUUUAAACACCAACUGUUAUCUGUAAAUGUCACUGGAACCACAUUAUAGCUGAAGUGUGAGAGUAUGGAAUAAACACAUGAAUGUUCUUAUUGAAUGUAACGUGAAUAUGCAAU